rnacentral:rRNA from 1 species
GUAGUCUCGCACAGAUGCAUAUCAAUAAGCGGAGGAAAAGAAACUAACAAGGAUUCCCCUAGUAACGGCGAGUGAAGCGGGAAGAGCUCAAAUUUGAAAUCUUAAAGGGUUUCCCUUUACGAAUUGUAGUUUAAAGAAGUGUUUUCUGUUGAGGUUUUGGUAAAAGUUCUUUGGAAUAGGACAUCAUAGAGGGUGAGAAUCCCGUAUUUGACCUUUACUUUCAACUUUGUGAUACGCUUUCAAAGAGUCGGAUUGUUUGGGAAUGCAGUCCAAAAUGGGUGGUAAAUUUCAUCUAAAGCUAAAUAUUGGCGAGAGACCGAUAGCGAACAAGUACCGUGAGGGAAAGAUGAAAAGAACUUUGAAAAGAGAGUUAAACAGUACGUGAAAUUGUCAAAAGGGAAGCGUUUGACACCAGUGUUGUUUUUCUGAAAAUCAAUUAAAGAACUGUUUAUGCUAAGUUGUUUAGACUUUAUCAGCUAACUGUUUAGUUUUGAGCUUUUCUUUAAUGCACUUUUCAGUUAACAAGUCAACAUCAAUUUCUUUUGCUGUAAAAAAGCUUGAGGAAGGUGGCUUGAGAUUCGUCUUAAGUGUUUAUAGCCUCUUGCCUAUGCAGUCGGAGAGAUUGAGGUCUGCAGCGUAGAUCCUUCGGGGCUAAAUGCAUUUGUGCUAAGUUAUAGCAUUUUAUAGACAACUUGUUGACUAUGAUUUGUCUUGUAGCUUACUCGCUUAUGUUAUUUUACCUACGCUUAGGAUGUUGACGCAUGAGAUAUACGC